GUACCGAGAGGAGGCCUAGUCUCUGGGGAUUGAAUUAAAACGAUUCCAAAGGAAUGCGCUUUUCGUUGAGUUGAUUCAAGAAAUGGUUAUACAUGUCACGCAGUUCAAAGUUGUAGUAGUAAAGGUUGUUGAAUAUGACCUAUGGAGGCGGGGAGGGAGGAAGUCAACGGAGAGAAUCACAAGACGGCAAUGACUUUGCCUAUGCACUCGCUAGAAUGGCCGUGGCGCAGGUAUGCGAGAGCGUCGAGAUCAGCACUCUCCAGGAAUCGCAUCCACGUGAAGGUGCGAGGUUCAGUUCUUUUCAAGAGUCUGCGCUGGAGAGACUGACGGAUGUGGUGAUACAGUACAUUCAGAGCGUUGGGAAGACGACGCGGUUGUAUGCUAAUAUGGCUGGUAGAGCAGAAGGUAAUGCGUUGGAUGUUGUUCAAGCGCUAGAGGAUUUGGGGUCUGGAUUGGGUUUCAACGGUGCUCACGAUGUUGAGCGUUGUCUUGCUGAUUCGGGUGUGGUUAAGGAUAUUGUUAGGUAUACAGGUGAAGCGGAGGAAGUGCCUUUUGUUUAUUCUCUUCCUCGUUUUCCUUUUAACAAAGGGAAGAGACGAGCUCCCAGCUUCUCUGAGAUUGGAGCAGAGAUGCCUGAUGAGCAUAUUCCGGUUUGGCUUCCUGCUUUUCCUGAAACCAAGAUGCCUAAGGAGGGCGAGGAGGCUAAUGUUGACAAAGUAGAAGGAGAGGUGCAAAGCAAAGAAAACGGAUUGUCUUUUGAUGUUGAUAGGUUAAAAGUUCAGAAGUCUAUGGAUCAGGAGGAUGUUCAGGAACCAGCAGAGGAACCGGAGGGUAAUCCAUUCCUUGCUGCACCAGUUUGGGUUAGAGAGAAGAACGUGCCACGUGCGUUUUGCCCGUCAGAGCCUGCGAAUGAAGAAGGUAGCAUUGGCCACGUUCCUGAGAAGCAAGCGAACAAGAGUCCUCGCAUUCCACCCCUUGAGGAGGCACAUGCUCCACCUGGCAUGAUCAACGACGAGAGCAGAUUAGGUGGAACUGAGGAUGAUGGACAGAAAACAGAUGGUGCAAGAACACAACGAGCUUUGCUCCGUUUCAAGAUUGGAACUCGAAAAAUCUCUAUGCAGAGCUUAGAAGAUAAGGGUUGGUUUCUAGAGGAUGGAGACAAGAGGGAGAAGAAGGUAGAACGCGAAGAUAAACUCGAAACCAUUGACACAGAUGUAAAUUAGGUUUUUAAUGGAGAGGACACUUGCAAGGAAAGACUUAAAGAGAGAGAGAAAAACGUUACCUGAAGGCAGAGACUUAAGCUCAUCUCCGCCAACGGAAACACGUCUCGCCGGAUAAUGCUGCCGGUAAAACACCUGAAAGAUCCCAUUCAUACAUCCGAACUGUUUGUUCAGAUUUGGAUUCUCAUCUGACAAGUUAUACAAAAGCUUCGCCGACAUCUUCUUCUCUGUAUGUCUUCUUUAGCUCUGGUCUCAGAUGGUUUUUUACUCUAAAAAGACAAUGGAACUCUGGGAUUGUCUCUUACCAGUUCCUCCUCAGUUGUGUGUCUGAGAGGAAGAGGAAAAAAGAGGCAAGAGGACAAACAAGAACCCAGAACUAAGACAAAGGUAAAGCUACUUGUGAAGUUACGACCAGACAGGAAAUGAGUUUUGCUCUGUGUUUGUUCUCUUGGAGGGUUCCUUGAAGAAGAAAGAAGAGAAGGGAAAAGAAAAAGGGGUUUCUGUUUGUGUUGUUUUUGAGAGAAACGGAUCUGUAAAAGGCAAAGGAGCUCUCUCCACAAUUAUAUUAUGGAGAAGCAUAUAUAAAGGACAUAUAAACAUCUGUUAUGUGAUGGUAGUAUAUACACAUGCGUGUACACAUGUAUACGUGUGUAUCCGUAGAUUUAUACAUGUAAGAGAAUGUAUUGAUGAUAUAUUUUUUAAAAAAAUAUAUACGACAAACCAUUGAAAAC